GACAGAGGUGCCAAGCGUUUAGGCGGAAUCACUGGGCUUAAAGCGUGUGUAGGCGGAUGCCUAAGUACCUUGUGAAAUCCCCCGGCUCAACCGGGGAACUGCUGGGUAUACUGGGUGUCUUGGGGUCAUCGUAGGGGCUGCCGGAACAAAUGGUGGAGCGGUGAAAUGCGUAGAGUAUCGAUUGGGAACGCCCAACGGGCGAAAAGCAGGCAGCUGGGGAUGCACCGAACGCUGGAGACACGGAAAGCCCAGGGGAGCGAACGGG
rnacentral:rRNA from 1 species